CUUUGUAACAGGUGGCGAUCUGACUGAGAAGAAAAAUACCCGGCAACUUGUGGGAUCCUCAAAGAAUUUAGGGAUGCCGAUGGCCUCUAUAGAAGACUUCCAUGCAAGUGAUGGUGAGGCAUUUGAUCUUUCCAAAGUGAGACCGAGUUUACCGAGGUCGAAAAGGCUAAACUUGAGCUGUUCUUGAAAAUUUACUGGAAUACAUAACCUUUCUAUGUCACCAAAUAUAGAAGAAAUACUUCUCUGUGAUUGUCCAAAGUUGAUUGAAGUUCACUCUUCGAGAUUAUUCAGCAAACUCAGUUCUUCGACCACACAGCCAUACAGACACUACUAAUGAUAUUGAAGGCAGAUAUGGUUCUUUUAGUUACAACCUAAGAUUUGAAAUCUGAUAAUGAUGACACACAGAUAAUUCCAAAUAAUGAUGUGUUAGAGAACUAUUUCUGUCAAGUCAUUCUAAGUUAUUGUUGUAUAUUGUUUGAUGUUUCUGUAUCGACAUAAGUUGGGUUGCUCUGUUGCACAGUUACAUAUUCUUGAAACUCUUCAUACAUCGGUUUCAUUAACUUCUUCUUGCAUUCCAAAGGGUAAUAGGAGCCUCGUAUUUCCAUUUUAUGCCACUGCUUGUUAUUGAUCUUGGUUUGUUCACUUUGAGGCACUUGUUUCAUU